CCAACUUCAGUGUGGUUUUAAGCUGUUACUAUAGUAACCUAUGUUAGUAAACACGGUAUGUAUAAUAUCUUUGCUAUUUAUAGAAAGUCUUAAAAAAUUUUCACCUACAUUCUUCAACAGUGUUUUUGUUUUUGCAUUAAAGUAUUUUAAUUGAUGAAAAUGUAAGUUCAACUCACCUAAAUCACCGAAAGAUGGCGCAGUAACGACGAUCGUCUUGGUCUGGAAAACACAGCGCGUGACCUUUUCUCGAGUGUUUGCGCAAGCAACAAAAUAACGGAAAUUUAAGAUAAACAAAGUAACCAGGCAACAACGUAACAGACCCGUUUCACUGGAGUAAAGACAAUGGAGUACAAGUUGUACCUACAACACAAGAGAAUAAUUCCAACAGCUACCAAAAGAAGAUGGAGUGAUAGUCAAAAAGGUUUUAGGAAACAUUACAAAACAUGGUUACAAGAUCCAAUGCAUCAAG